GCUGGAGUCCCUGCUUCCCCCUUAGAGGGCGGUAGCGGGGCGUCUCGGGGACGCAUGCGCCCCAAAUUGCGCUCGGGGAAUUAAAAGAGGGGAAAAAAAGCCCGAAGAAAACUCACGCCCCAAACAAAACGCAAGUAGAGGAGGGCGCGCGGCCUGCAGCCCUCGCCCGCGUCCCCGGCCGCGGCGUGAUGCGCGCGGACCAGCCCGCGACGCCCGGGCUGCCGCUGUCCCCGCACCUGGACGCUGGCGCGGUGGCCGCGCCCCAGCCUCGAUCGCUCGCCGCGGCGACUCGGCCCCAGGCUUCCGGCGCCGGUGGGGGCCCUCGCUCUCCAUGGGGCUGAGGGACUGGCUGAGAACCGUGUGCUGCUGCUGCCGGUGCGAGUGCUUGGAGGAGCGCGCCCUGCCUGAGAAGGAGCCCCUCGUCAGUGAUAACAAUCCAUAUUCCUCAUUUGGAGCAACUCUGGUGAGGGAUGAUGAGAAGAAUUUAUGGAGUAUGCCCCAUGAUGUGUCCCACACAGAGGCAGACGACGACAGAACCCUGUACAAUUUGAUAGUCAUUCGUAAUCAGCAGGCCAAAGACUCAGAGGAGUGGCAGAAGCUCAACUAUGAUAUCCAUACCCUGCGGCAGGUUCGAAGGGAAGUAAGAAACAGAUGGAAGCGCAUCUUAGAAGAUUUAGGUUUUCAAAAGGAAGCUGACUCUUUGUUGUCAGUGACUAAACUCAGCACCAUCAGUGAUUCUAAAAACACAAGGAAAGCUCGAGAGAUGUUGUUAAAACUGGCUGAAGAAACCAAUAUUUUCCCAACAAGUUGGGAGCUCUCAGAGAGAUAUCUCUUUGUUGUGGACCGUCUCAUUGCACUUGAUGCUGCAGAAGAGUUCUUUAAGCUUGCUCGUCGAACUUACCCCAAGAAGCCUGGGGUUCCAUGCCUGGCAGAUGGCCAGAAAGAACUGCACUACCUUCCGUUUCCAAGUCCCUAAAGGAGAGGCUCAGGGGCAGAAUGGGAAUUCUUCCAUGAGGACUCAGCAGUCAACCAAAGUUGGACAAUUACAUGUAGAAGAGAGGCAAAGGAACACCCAGGAAGGCACAGAGGACACAUGUACUAAAGGGAUAAGGAAUGCAUUGGUGAGAGGGCACCAGCAUCCCUGAGAAGCUCAGUGGCAGUUCUGAAGGCCAGAUGCUGUUACAGAAGUGAGCUCACUGACAGACAGCAAUGGACACGGAAGAACAGAGGCCCAGUGGCAGUGAGUCACUAUCAGAAGCCAAAUGGAUACAAUUAUCGCAAUGAGUGGCCAGGUUGAAGGAUUCCUGCAGAGAGCUUUGGAGGCAGUUAAUGGAACAUGCCAUCUUUAGGAGCAAAAUAAGUCUAAAAUGAGUAUUGCUCAAACGAUACCUUCAAAAGACCUCAAGGAUGGGUGAUCAGGAGAUAGGACACAGCCACCUUAAUAAAAGGUUAUAAUCUUUUGCCAAAUUUUCAGACCUUUGUUAUUUUCCAAAUGCAGAAACUGCUGAUUGAAGGAAAGUCUAGGUCUCCAAGAAGGUCUUUGUAAAACCACUGCAAGUGUGUAUGGCAAUGAUGUCCCUAUGGUUAUUUACUUGGAUAACUGUACACUGGGAAAGGGGAGUACAUGAAUAAUCUGAGGGCACUGAGACAUAAGGUCCAAGCUGACGUUGAUACUUCAGGACCAGAGUAUCACUAGAGUCCACCUUUUGGAGUGAGGGGCAUAUGGGAUUCGGGUAAUAAAUGGAGUUCUUUUCCAGGUAUUACUUAACACUAGGUCCACUGAAUUCAUGGCUCUACCCAAUGGUAGUCUCCCUGUCGACUACUACUUUCAGAAUAAAUAAUCAUCCCCCUACUUAGACUCCCUGUCCCUGUCAUCUCCUUACUUUCAGAAUAAAUAAUCAGACUGAACAUACUUGGGAGUUGACAGAACCGCCAUUCCUUUCUUGGCGUGUGUGUUAGAAUUUUCUUAAAGGGAAAGCCAUGUGGAAGCGGGAAUGUUGAGCCUUAUCAUAAUUCCAUUUAAUGCACCACUCUGACCUCUAUAAAAACCAGACACUGGAGGAUGAAAGUGGACUAUUGAAAACUCAGCCAAGUAGUAACCGUAACUGCAGCGUCUGUACCAGAUGUGAAACCUUGGCUAGAAUAGACUAAGACAAGGUCAGCUACAUGGUUUGUGGCCACUGAUCUGUCAAAUGUUUUCUUUCCCCACCCAUCAGAAUGGUAGAUCAAAAACUGUAUUCACUUGAGAUAGAAAAUAUUUAUGAUGGACACACACACACACGCGCGCGCACACACACAACACACAUACACUUACAUUGCUCCAGAGUUCCCUAUUAGGUUGGCUGAGGCUUUUGUUGUGACUGCAUCUUAGUAAAAUCUCUCCCUUUCCCCAAGCCUGUCUUCCUUCUCUCCUCCACAGGAAUUUGCUAAUAGACUUCUUUCAUGCCAAUCUCCAUUUCAAAAUAAUUUCCCUCAGGGAACCCAACUGUGACAGUAUCUGAGUUGCCAAUACAAUCACUAUCACAUAUUUUCCAAUGUGAUGGUUUUUCAAGACCAUCAUCAAGUGUCCUUUCUUUAGUGAAGACAUUAAAUGUUAAGUUUCCCUAGGAGUUAUCCGACUAAUGGCAGUAACUUUUGGAAAAGAACUGCAGUGGUAGCAGCAGAAACCAAUUUAUCUGACUAUUUUCCAAUGCCCAGAGAGGGAUCAUGGCACAACCCUGGCUUCCUUUCCAUUGAAUUAAUGUAUUUAUUCAUUUCCUCGGAUCACUUUCUAUUACUAAUAUCACAAGAAAUAUUUUGCGGUGAAGGGAGUAUACUCUCAUAACUUCUAAAUCACAACUACGUACAGGAUGAAAAUGGGUAGCCACUUUGAACUUGCUAUUUACAAUGUUUCAGCAAGUGUUAUUAACUUCUAGAAUAUUCUUCCAUCUUCUGUUUUGACACACUAUGGAUGGACAUUUGGGUAUCCAGUUUUCAAGUCACUUAAACAUAUGGGUUUAGAACACUGGGUUGUGGAGAACUAAGUCAGGCAACCAGAUUUUAGCUUGAGUCUCAUCGUUUGAUCACUUAUUAGCUAUAGGGGAUUUAUUUGAUAUUGUUUCUCACCUAUGUUCUAAGUAUUUAAAGAUAAUAAAUUUGGAGAGAAUAGAAUUAGAAAUACAGAAAUAAAAUAAUGACAUAAUAGCUAGAGGAAGCUUAGGCCUAUAGAUCAUUACUUUUUAAAAAAACAACAUCUGUAGUUUUUAUGCAGCAAUUUAUUUUAAACAUUUUUAAACAUGUAGUGUGAAUUAUGCAUAUGUGUAACUGAACUUUAUCAUAUAUUCUAGAGACAUAUAGUUGGCAUUUGAAGUAUCUUAAUCAGGAAUCCACUUUCUAGAGAUGGUUGCUUAAUCAUUUCAAUUAUCUUCAUCAAAAUUUGUAUCCGAAAGUUUAUUAAGCUGUGUGAAUGAUACUAGGAAUACUUUUCUGUCUGGUUUCCAUCACCUUUUUUAGGAAGAAGAUACUAAAAAUCUGUCAAACCCAGCAGUACUCAAGGCCUAGAGCUCCAUUUGUUUUUUAUCUGCCUACUUCACACACCUGACGAUAUGUUGUCAGAUCUUAUUAUUGGAAUAUUGUUGUGUCUGCCUAAGAAUGAAACUUUCACUCCCAUUUUUAUUUCAAUAUUUGUGGCUGAGAACAGAAAGGAGGACUUAUCUGGGGUUACAGGAAGCAAAGGUAGAAUUUCUGGCUAAUAACAAUUGUACGUUUAGAAGAAUUUGGGGCAACACUUGCUUUCAUUGUAACACGCCACCUGGUUACAAGAUUAUGGGGAAAUAAAUAUAUCGUCUUCACUUUCUUUUUUUUGUUGCUGGAGAUUAUUGGUAUUUACUAAAAGACUGGACAUUUACUGAGAGGUAACAUUGGCUCAGGUUUCUAAUUUCUAAUUUCUAACCCAUUUUCCAAAUAAAAGAGAAGUGCAGAAAAUUAAAAAAAUUAACUAUAAUAUCAGAACUGUAAGACAACCAAGCAUUCAUAGCAAUUUGGGAUAUUUCAUUCUUUUUUAUGUGCAUAUUUAAAAUUUAUAUGUAUAAUAAUAAUUUUUUUUUUUUUUGAGAUGAAGUCUCGCUCUGUCGCCAAGGGUAGAGUGCAGUGGCGCAGUCUUGGCUCACUGCAACGUCUGCCUCCCGGGUUCAAGCAAUU